rnacentral:rRNA from 1 species
CAGCAGCCGCGGUAAUCCGAAGGGGGCUAGCGUUGUUCGGAAUCACUGGGCGUAAAGGGUGCGCAGGCUGGUUCUUAAGUCAGGGGUGAAAUCCCGAGGCUCAACCUCGGAACGGCCUUUGGUACUGGGGAUCUUGAGUCCGGAAGAGGUGAGUGGAACUGCGAGUGUAGAGGUGAAAUUCGUAGAUAUUCGCAAGAACACCGGUGGCGAAGGCGGCUCACUGGUCCGGAACUGACGCUGAGGCACGACAGCGUGGGGAGCAAACAGGAUUAGAUACCCCAGUAGUCCCUGUCUCUUAUAU